rnacentral:rRNA from 1 species
AGUCGAGGGGUACAUGAGAAGCUUGCUCUUGAUGACGACCGGCGCACGGGUGCGUAACGCGUAUGCAACCUACCCACAACUGGAGCAUAGCCCGGAGAAAUUCGGAUUAAUACUCCAUAAUGCAGGGGUACCUCCUGGUACUAUUUGCUAAAGAUUUAUUGGUUGUGGAUGGGCAUGCGUCUGAUUAGUUUGUUGGUGAGGUAACGGCUCACCAAGACCACGAUCAGUAGGGGGUCUGAGAGGAUGAUCCCCCACACUGGCACUGAGAUACGGGCCAGACUCCUACGGGAGGCAGCAGUAGGGAAUAUUGGGCAAUGGGCGAAAGCCUGACCCAGCCAUGCCGCGUGAAGGAUGAAGGCCUUCUGGGUUGUAAACUUCUUUUAUAUAGGAAGAAAAAGGUCAUG